GUUUUUAUAGUUUAAUAUUAAAACAUUGGUCUUGUAAAUCAAAAAUAAGUAUAUUACUUUAAAAACU
rnacentral:tRNA from 1 species